GUGACAUUCUAUAGCCCCACAGGGUGAUGUUGUUCAGGGCUCUGCAGAAGGACAGACAGGGGAGUUGCAGGUGUGGCGGCUGUGUCAUAUGUGUGUCAGUAGGUGGCAGAGAGGACAGAAGCUGCAGCUGUGCUCAGUGUUCUGACCUGUGAACAUCUGAAUGAUUAGUGACCUACCAUUCCCUGAAUGAAGCAAGCCUGAGACGACCACCAGUCCGAAGCUACGGGGCCUGAAUAGGGAGCUAGCCUGAGAUGGCCACCAGUGCCUCGCAGGUCUGGGGCUGAGAAUAGACCAUGCUCAAGAUGAAUCCUGCCCAGUGUCAUAAUGCACGGGUGGGGCAUAGCACUCCUGAGACCACUCCUGAGUUGACCCCAGAUACUCAGAGACCCUGGAGAACCACUAAGUGAAGCACUUAAAUGGUGAAGAAAUGGAAGAGAACGAGACACAGAAGGAUGUGGGCACAAUGAAGAGAGGCAGAACUGGACACUUGAGGGUGUUGAGAAACAUCCUGAUGUAAGCAGCCGGUGAUGCCACCUGAGAACAUGGUGAGAAGUCCUCCCCUGUACUGCCA